AGUGAACGCUGGCGGUAGGCCUAACACAUGCAAGUCGAACGGCAGCACAGUAAGAGCUUGCUCUUACGGGUGGCGAGUGGCGGACGGGUGAGGAAUACAUCGGAAUCUACUUUUUCGUGGGGGAUAACGUAGGGAAACUUACGCUAAUACCGCUUACGACCUACGGGUGAAAGCAGGGGAUCUUCGGACCUUGCGCGAUUGAAUGAGCCGAUGUCGGAUUAGCUAGUUGGCGGGGUAAAGGCCCACCAAGGCGACGAUCCGUAGCUGGUCUGAGAGGAUGAUCAGCCACACGGGAACUGAGACACGGUCCAGACUCCUACGGGAGGCAGCAGUGGGGAAUAUUGGACAAUGGGCGCAAGCCUGAUCCAGCCAUACCGCGUGGGUGAAGAAGGCCUUCGGGUUGUAAAGCCCUUUUGUUGGGAAAGAAAAGCAGCAGGUUAAUACCCCGCUGUUCUGACGGAACCCAAAGAAGAAGCACCGGCUAACUUCGG
rnacentral:rRNA from 1 species